AGUGAACGCUGGCGGUAGGCCUAACACAUGCAAGUCGAACGGCAGCACAGUAAGAGCUUGCUCUUACGGGUGGCGAGUGGCGGACGGGUGAGGAAUACAUCGGAAUCUACUUUUUCGUGGGGGAUAACGUAGGGAAACUUACGCUAAUACCGCAUACGACCUACGGGUGAAAGCAGGGGAUCUUCGGACCUUGCGCGAUUGAAUGAGCCGAUGUCGGAUUAGCUAGUUGGCGGGGUAAAGGCCCACCAAGGCGACGAUCCGUAGCUGGUCUGAGAGGAUGAUUCGGCACACUGGAACUGAGGCACGGUCCAGACUCCUACGGGGGGCCACAGUGGGGAAUAUUUGGCAAUGGGCGCAAGCCUGAUCCAGCCAUACCGCGUGGGUGAAGAAGGCCUUCGGGUUGUAAAGCCCUUUUGUUGGGAAAGAAAAGCAGCAGGUUAAUACCCCGCUGUUCUGACGGUACCCAAAGAAUAAGCACCGGCUAACUUCGUG
rnacentral:rRNA from 1 species